GACGAACCGUGCAACCGUUGUUCGGAAUCACUGGGCUUAAAGGGUGCGUAGGCGGCGCGGUAAGUCGGGUGUGAAAUCUCGGGGCUUAACUCCGAAACUGCAUUCGAUACUGCCGUGCUUGAGGACUGGAGAGGAGACUGGAAUUUACGGUGUAGCGGUGAAAUGCGUAGAUAUCGUAAGGAAGACCAGUGGCGAAGGCGGGUCUCUGGACAGUUCCUGACGCUGAGGCACGAAGGUCAGGGGAGCAAACGGG
rnacentral:rRNA from 1 species